rnacentral:lncRNA from 1 species
GAGAUGGAGUCUUGCUCUGUUGCCCAGGCUGGAAUGCAGUGGCCUGAUCUCAGCUCACUGCAACCUCCGCCUCCCGGAUUCACGCCAUUCUCCUGCCUCAGCCUCCCUAGUAGCUGGGACUACAGGCGCCCAGCUAAUUUUUUGUAUUUUUAGUAGAGACGGGGUUUCACCGUGUUAGCCAGGAUGGUCUCGAUCUUCUGACCUCGUGAUCCACCCGCCUCAGCCUCCCAAAGUGCUGGGGGUGACAAUAAGAAAUGCUACUCUUUAAAUUGCCUUCCUUAUUUCAGAGACCAAGUGACAGUGUUUAACACCAGAGACACAGUGGGCACAGUUACUUUCAUGGGCAGCAGGGCCACAGUGGUAAAAUGAAUGUUUUUGACUUGUGAGGGUCUUUGGUAGUAUCUCUAGGAAUAAAAUAGCCUACUAAAAUAUAUGUUGAUCUACAUAAUUAGAAAUUAUCAGGUAAGUAGAAUUCUAAUUUGGAUCACCAUAAUAGUCAUGGCCCUUCCCCCAGUUCUGGGAGCUGAACAAUUUUGCAGACCUGGAGCCCACUGACAUUGCUGCAAUAUAUACUAAAAAUCAUUCUUCAAGCCCUAAGAGACCCAUGGCCAUUGUCAUGGGAGAGGAAAAUACUUGGGACUGUUUCAGGAUCGCUGAACACUGACUCUCAACUGUUGCUAAUCUCUGAGACUGUAUAUGUUGGGUCAGGCUAUUUUAGGCUUUGGUAGUGUCAUCAAAAAUCCCAGUGGCAGACAACAAAAGUGUCGCUCUGUUGCCCAGGCUGGGGUGCAGUGGCAUGAUCUCGGCUCACUGCAACCUCCGACUCCCAAGUAAAAGCGAUUCUCCAGCCUUGGCCUCCUGAAUAGCUGGGAUUACAGGUGCCCCCCACCACACCUGGCUAAUUUUUGUAUUUUUAGUAGAGACAGUGUUUUACCAUGUUGGCCAGGCUGGUCUCGAACUCCUGACCUCAAGUGAUCCUCCCGCCUUGGCCUCCCAAAGUGUUGGGAUUGCAGGCGUGAGCCACCACGCCUGGCCAACAAAAGUUAACUUCUUAUUCUUGCUAUGUGUCCACUGCAGCUUGACUGAAGCUCUUUUCCAUUUUAUCUUCACUCCAGAUGGAGGCUGUGGAUCAGCCUCUGUUUGGAACAUUGCUUAGUCUUAUGGCAGAGGGAAAAUACAUCAUAACAAAGCACACAUCAGCUCUUAGAUCUUCUGUCUAAAGGUGACGCAUGUCACUUUUGUUCACAUUUCAUUUGCAAGUCACGUGGACAAGACUGCAGUUAAGGAAGUAUGAUUCCUCAGUAGGAAAGGAGCCAGAAUAUUUGGCAAACAAUGAUAUAUUCUACGUGAUUUCCUGUUAUCUCUCCAUUGCUUAUUAUCAAUAUUUAAUUGAUUGCUGCUGCUGUUUCAAAUAUGUUAUUCUUACUAGAGUAAAUCAAAAUGGCUUUUGACAUGUGGGAUGCAGCUAUUUAUGUAAAAUAUACUUUUUUUCCUGCUGUAUUGGUUACAGGCACUUUUGGAAGGUGUUUGCUUUCACAUGGCAGGGACAGCAGUACAUCUUCACGAUUUGAGCUCAGGUCUAUGGCAACUCUCCUGUUCUGUCAUAAGCAAGGCUUCAGGGGUCUUGAUAAUCACAACAUCCCAUAAAAUGCAGAACUAGUCCAUUAUAUGGAUAAUAUGUUGAGCAUGUGACAUUUCUAGGAGUUCAGUGGCCUGAGGCAUGUUGGUUAUCUCCUUCAAAUGAAAACAAAUUGCUGCAUCAUGUACUCCUAUGCUAGGAAAGAGUUAAAAAAAAAUACUUGACGGGUGUUUUAGGAGGUAAUAUACAGCACAUUUUACCAUGCUGCCCUGGCCCAUUUACGAAGGAAUUUGUAAGUCUGCCGGUUUUGAGUGGGGCCCAGAGCAAGAGAAGGGUUGCAGCAAAUUCAGACUGUUGUGCAAGAUGUUCUGUCAUAUAUGGCACAUAUGCCUGAAGUGUCCAAGGCAGAUAGAGAUACUGUAUGGAGCCUUCAACCAGCCCUGAAAGGAGAAUCACAGUGCAGACCCCUGGCGGUUUGCAGCAAAUCCAUGUUAUCUUUUGCAAAUAACUUUUC